rnacentral:lncRNA from 1 species
UUUUUUGACUUCACAGUCUCUCUUUGUUUUUCCACACUUUAUUAUUUUAUAUUAUUUUUUCUUCUCUUGGAAAGGAAUAACAAAAGCCAGAAAGAAUCAAGGGAUUGAAAGAAUGAGUGAAGUCUGACUAGAGGAGAGGGGGAGAAAGUAACAUCUGAGCAGUAAAUCCUUACAAGAUGCAUAGUGUGAGGAUGAUGGGGAUGGGACAAGUGCCACAUGGGGUGGUAGCAGUCAUAGGAGGGGAAAAUAGAAUAGGGGGUAAGGUAGUAGAGGGGGGAUGCUUGCAUGGGAUACCAGUCACCCUCAUCAUCCAGGACCAGGGUGACUGACAUUUAUGCUCCCAAAAGGUGCUUGCUCUCUGGGACCCCCACCCCUUCCCUUCCUCUUUCUCUGUCUCUCUCUCACUGGGUGUGUGUGUGUGUGUGUGUGGGUGUGAAUGUAUGUGUCUUGUGUGGUUCUCCCCCCUAGCUCUCCUCCCUUGGCUAGUCCCCCUUCUUCUCCUCCCUUUCCUCUGGGUCUUUUGCUGCUUCUGGAGUUACU